AGCCACCGUCUCUUCUCCCUCCAAAAUCCCCACAUACACUUUCUGCCUUCCUGCCUGUUGCCUCAUGCCCCAGGGUGGCUGUCAUAGCACAGGGCAUCACACCGCUACACCAGCAUCUCAAACGGGAAGAAAGUGGCAGGUGUACAAAGGAUGACCACUUUGUGAAUCAGGUUACGAUUUUCUUUUCUAACAAAGGAAAAGCUUCUCAGAGGCUCCCCCUGCAAAUGUCUCUUUAACCCUGUUAGGCCAUGGGCCAUGUGGCCGGCCCUGACUUUAACAGGGUGGGAAAGUGAACAUGUGUCAAAGUGGACCAGGAUGGCCAGCCCCCACUAGGCGAGCACAUAGUUGCCCCAAACAAAAUCAGGGUUCGCUUAGCUGGGAAGCAGGUGCUAAGGCUGUCGGGGAGGCUGCCAACUGGCCUGUCACAGAGAAAAAUCAGAGCCCAGGGAGGGGUUUUGACAGCAGCACAGAGAGAGAUGAUGUGGUUUGAACAUGGGGGCCAUGAGCAGUGAGUGCCUCUUUCUCUUAGAGAGGGUGCGUCCAGUGUAAACGUGAAGGAGAGAUAGAAACACAGGCUCUUCAUUUUUGGUCUGAGUGACUGAGUCGAGGGGGAUGCCCUUUGCCGAGAUGGGGAAGACAGAGGGAAGAGCUUGGUAGUCACAGGGUGGAAAUUAAGAAUUGCCUAUUGGGGACAGAAGUGGAGAUGCUAUGCAGGGGUGGAGUUUCUCGAGGGAUGCCGAGAGGAGAGGCCAGUGCUGCAGCCCUGCGCCUGGAGGCUGGGCUCGACACAUCCGCUCUGCCCUUCCCUCCGUGCUGCGUGACGCUGGAGCUGGCCUUUGAAAGCCACAUCAGCCUGUUCCUUGACCUGUGGUUUCUGGUUAUGCUAGCCCAACAGGAGCACCAAAGGCCCUUGAGGGAAGGAAAGAGCAAGGCCAAGGUGUCUACUAUUCCCCUGACUUCCUCCUGCCAGGUCACCGAGGGUUGGCUGUGCACCUCAAUUGAAGCUCCGGCCCUGUCAGGCACCCACCACUCUCCUUUCUCUCUCUCCAGUUCCAGUUCCUGCGUCCUCCCCUUGUUCCUGCGGGCGGGGGAUGGCAUCACACGGGCGUGGUGAAUCCUGGCCCUUGGGACUUCCCUGCGCCUUGCACAGAUCGCACAGAUUGUGGUAGAUGGUCCCUUGCAAGUGUCAUCCUGCCUGAUGCAUCACCACCGAGGAAGCGACCGAAGUCAGAGACAGAGGAUGCUGCCACUCCCCAAGAAUGAAGCCGGUAGGGGAUAUUAUUGGACUUCGUAUGUGAUGGCAGUGACUCAACAGAAAGAAAAAUUGCUGAUGCAAGAAAAAGAGUGUCUUGCCUCGUCCAGGCAAGAGGGCAUCAGACUUGGGACAGCUCACUCGAGGCAGGGAAAGAAAAGCGGGUUGCACGAUUGCAGGCACAGGGCUUCAUUCCCAUCACCUAGGCUGCAGUACAGGGGUGUGAUCUCAGCUCACUGCAACCUCCACCUCCUGGACUCAAGCAACCCUCCCAUUCCAGCCUCCCAAGUAGCAAGGACUACAGGCACACACCACCAUGCCAGGCUAAUUUUUGUUUGUUUGUUUGUUUUUGUUGAGACGGUGUUUCACCAUGUUGCCCAGGCUGGCCUCGAACUCCGAGUUCAAGUGAUCUGCCCACUUGGCCUCCCAAAGUGCUGGGAUUACAGGCACGAGCCACCACACUCAGCCUUCAUCAUCUAAUAAAAUCUAACCAAAUCCUUAUACCUUUAUCCCAUCUGCAUCUUGGAAGACCUGGACUAACGUAAGUGGCAUCAGGAGAGGAUCUGGGACUGUCCUGCCCACCACCCAAAGGGUGCAGAGGCUGCUGUCCUGGUUGGCUGGGAGGUCCGGUGGUCCCUGGCACACGGUGGGAGCUUCAUGAGUGAUGAUCUGGGAAAAUAUCUCGGUGGAGCACAGCGCUGUGGCUGGUGGGAUGAUGCAGGCCCCUGAAAAACUGGGAGUGGGGAGCAACCAAACCAACAAAGACAGGACAGCGGGCUGGUUCCCCAUACUGACAUCCUGAGAGCUGUUACCAAGCUCGGUGUGAGACUGGAGUGCCUCUACCACAGAGGUAAACAGGCACUUAACCGGAGUGAAGGGCCACCGGUGGGUCAGCUCUGCAAAGGUAGAAAGUAAGGGUCCCCUGGGGAAAAUCUGGGUCCCAAAGAUGUAACGAUGAGGGCCCUCCAGUCCUCUGGAACCUCUGGAAGUGCACAGGUCCUCCUGCCCCAUAAAGGUGAGCACAUCUACUGUGCUGGAGAUGUUACGGAAUCACCUGUCUCACCAGGAAGCAAGUGCUCGCCUCAGAGGCUGUCCCACCUGCCUGCCAGGCCAAUUGCGAGGGCUAAAUCCCAGCACAGACCAACGGGAAGGGGCAGGGUGCUAAGCCUAAAAAGGGAGAAAGGGGCUGCACAGCUAAGUAAUUGCAAGAACUGGUUGAUGGCCUCAGCUGGGGCAGAAGAGAAGUCCCGGGAUGGGAGAGUGAGGAGCUUGACCAAGGGUCUGGAAACAUUUGCUGCAGUGGGGCACUUUCUCAGGACCCAGGAGGUGGGGAAAACUUGGAAUGGCUCUUAAAAGCCUUGAAAAAAGUGGUAGCCAGCUCACAGUGAAGCAGAAACCCUCAAGUUCUCUGGCAGCUGGUAGAGGAAGGAAUGGGGUGGAGGGAGGUGGGUGUGCAGGAAGCCCUGGGGAGAACACCAGCAUCACCAGGAAGUCGAGGCAUUCCCCGUCUGCAGCCUGUGCUGAGGGUGGGAGAGUCAAGAGGUUCCCCGUCUGCAGCCUGUGCUGAGGGUGGGAGAGUCGAGGGGUUCCCCGUCUGCAGCCUGUGCUGAGGGUGGGAGAGUCGAGGGGUUCCCCCUCUGCAGCCUGUGCUGAUGAUGGGAGACGCAGCUACAGAGCCGGGCUCCCUAAUCCCCGUGGGGAGGAUGAGGCAGGCGGCCACCGAGGGGCUUGGGGGCAGUAACAGGGGGUGGUAACAGAGCACGGUGCCCUGAGGGGUGAAACCAGUGGCCAACAAGGGGGAAGCUUCACAUGUAAGAGUCAACAGAGGGCAGGGGCUGAGGGGCUGCCCCAGCAGGAAGUCACACUCCCGUGCUGUUUCUGGACAUGAGCCGAUUUUCAGAAUUGGAAUCCACUGACGGAAGAGUGGCUGGGAGCCUGGAAUGAGCUGCGAUGUCUGGCAAGUUAAUACCUGGCCCUUCCCGGGGGCUCGGGCUGCUUCCCUGGGGGACUAGAGGGAGCAUGCAGGCACCUUCGCUGUAAGUGCCUUGCAAUUUAAAGAGACAACUGCAUAUUACAAUAAUUAUAAAUCCUGCUGGUGGCCCAGUGUGUCAAGAUGUAAUUUGUGAUAAUAACAACAUAAAGGGGAUGGUGCUACGGAGGAGCAAAGGUUUUGUAGACAACUGAAACUAAGUUGGAAUUUCAAAACAUUGAGAGGAUUCAUUGAAACCAUGUUCAAACAAAACCUUGAACGUGAAUGUGCGUCUGUCCCCCGAGGCCUGGCCUGGACAGCUCUGGCCCUCAUCAGAGAAGCCUCCCUGGCUGAGCGUUCCUGUCACAGGCUCUGCCUCCCUUCAUGGUGUCCAUGCUGCGGAGUCCUAAUGAGGGAAAGGAGUCAGACUGGCGGGACCAGGGGAAAGCAACAGAGAGAGCGGAGAAGCUGUGAGUCUGCCUUUCUUCAUGGUCCAGGACACAUGGCCCUCCCGUGCAGACAAAUCACAAUCUUCCUACGCCCAGUUAUCACCAGACCCUUGGCUGAUAGAAAAAUGCGUUAGCUCCCUGCAACCUGGGCGUUAUCAGCACUGCACAUGGCCCUCUCCGGCACAAGCCCCAUCCUAUAAAAUCCCCAGCACGCCUUCGGCUCUUGCUGCCAGCACCUCUCUUGGUGAUUGCCCAUUGCUUUCUUGCAACGUAUUUUCCUACUUCCUCUCAUAAAUCUGCCUUUCUUUACCUACAACAGUCUUGGUAAAUUCUUUUUACUGCCCACGCCACCAGCCCCGGUUAGUUGCUACCUGCAACACACAGCACUUUUAGUUACAUAAUUAUUCAUGCGACAUUCUGUGAGGGUGAGAGCCCAGCCUGCCCUGGCAUGAUGCUAGUGGCAGGGCAUGAGAACUGUUUGCUACAUGCCAAAGGUCACUAGCUUCUCUCACACAUCAAGUCCAGCCCGUUGCCCUGUCCUGCCUCUUCCAGCUCCCGAAUCACCCCUUCCCUCACUGCUGCCCACAAUGGCCUAGCCUGCCAUUCCAGCAGGCAGCCACAGCACCAUGCAGCCCUUGCCUCUCCCCAGCCCCCUCUCUGUGUCCAGAGUGGUCUUUCUAAGGCACAGUUCUGACCACGUCGCUCUCCUUUUCACUCCAAGUCCCAGCUCCUUGACAGGCUUGUGGGGUCUACGGCAGGCCCACCUCCUCUCCCACCCCUCUGCCAGGCCUCGUGGCUGGAUGGGUGGAUGCUGCUGAACGCUGCACUCCCUCAGAGGUUCCCGCUUCCCUCACAGGCCACAGACUCCAGGGCCGCCUCGCCAGCUCCACGAGUCCAUCAGUGGCCUCUCAGCCCCAGCACCAUUAACAUGUACGGUCCAGGAACUCUGUUGGGGAGGGCUGUCCUGUGCACUGUACAGUGUUUAACAACAUCCCUGCCUGAUCCCACUAAGUGCCAUAGCACUCCUUCGGUUGUGACAACCCAAACUGUCUCCAGACCUUGCAGACAUCCCCCAGGUGCAAAAUCGUCUCCAGCUUGGAACCACUGCUCUGUUCAGGAGUUUCCAGAUCCAUAGCUCAGUCCAGAGUCUUCUCCUGAGUUCCAGACCUGAGGAUUCAUUUGUUUCUGGACGUUUUCCCCUGGAGAAAUGGGAGUGUAAAAAGAUGGGUGCAAGGAAAUAGAAAUAUUCAUAACAAGCUAAUCUGAAAGAACAGAUAAAUGAAAUGCUGAGUACAGCAUAGAAAAAAAUCAAGAGGGACUUUUCCGACCAUAUAAAAAUGUAUGAUAAAGUGACAAUAAUUAAACCAUAUGGUAUAUAGCCUGGGCACAGUGGCUCACGCCUGUAAUCCCAGCACUUUGGGAGGCCGAGGUGGGCUGGUCACCUGAGGUCGGGAGUUCAAGACCAGCCUGACCAACAUGGAGAAAUCCUGUCUCUACUAAAAAUACAAAAUUAGCUGGGCGUGGUGGCACAUGCCUAUAAUCCCAGCUACUUGGGAGGCUGAGGCAGGAGAAUCGCUUGAACCCAGGAGGCAGAGGUUGCAGUGAGCCAAGAUCGUGCCAUUGCACUCCAGCCUGGGCAACAAGAGCAAAACUUCAUCUCAAAAAAACACGAGGUCAGGAAAUCGAAACUAUCCUGGCCAACACAGUGAAACCCCUUAUCUACUAAAAACGCAAAAAUUAGCUGGGCGUGGUGGUGCAUGCCUAUAAUCCCAGCUACUUGGGAGGCUGAGGCAGGAGAAUCACUUGAACCAGGGAAUUGGAGGUUGCAGUGAGCCGAGAUGGUGCCAGCGCACUCCAGCCUGGUGACAGAGCAAGGCU